rnacentral:rRNA from 1 species
GCCUAAUACAUGCAAGUCGAGCGAAUGGAUUGAGAGCUUGCUCUCAAGAAGUUAGCGGCGGACGGGUGAGUAACACGUGGGUAACCUGCCCAUAAGACUGGGAUAACUCCGGGAAACCGGGGCUAAUACCGGAUAACAUUUUGAACUGCAUGGUUCGAAAUUGAAAGGCGGCUUCGGCUGUCACUUAUGGAUGGACCCGCGUCGCAUUAGCUAGUUGGUGAGGUAACGGCUCACCAAGGCAACGAUGCGUAGCCGACCUGAGAGGGUGAUCGGCCACACUGGGACUGAGACACGGCCCAGACUCCUACGGGAGGCAGCAGUAGGGAAUCUUCCGCAAUGGACGAAAGUCUGACGGAGCAACGCCGCGUGAGUGAUGAAGGCUUUCGGGUCGUAAAACUCUGUUGUUAGGGAAGAACAAGUGCUAGUUGAAUAAGCUGGCACCUUGACGGUACCUAACCAGAAAGCCACGGCUAACUACGUGCCAGCAGCCGCGGUAAUACGUAGGUGGCAAGCGUUAUCCGGAAUUAUUGGGCGUAAAGCGCGCCCAGGUGGUUUCUUAAGUCUGAUGUGAAAGCCCACGGCUCAACCGUGGAGGGUCAUUGGAACUGGGAGACUUUGAGUGCAGAAGAGAAAGUGGAAUUCCAUGUGUAGCGGUGAAAUGCGUAGAGAUAUGGAGGAACACCAGUGGCGAAGGCGACUUUUCGGUCUGUACUGACACUGAGGCGCGAAGCAUGGGGGGGCAAAACGGAUUAGAUACCCUGGUAGUCCCCGCCGUAAAC